rnacentral:rRNA from 1 species
AUGAACGCUGGCGGCGUGCCUAAUACAUGCAAGUCGAGCGAACAGACGAGGAGCUUGCUCCUCUGACGUUAGCGGCGGACGGGUGAGUAACACGUGGAUAACCUACCUAUAAGACUGGGAUAACUUCGGGAAACCGGAGCUAAUACCGGAUAAUAUAUUGAACCGCAUGGUUCAAUAGUGAAAGACGGUUUUGCUGUCACUUAUAGAUGGAUCCGCGCCGCAUUAGCUAGUUGGUAAGGUAACGGCUUACCAAGGCAACGAUGCGUAGCCGACCUGAGAGGGUGAUCGGCCACACUGGAACUGAGACACGGUCCAGACUCCUACGGGAGGCAGCAGUAGGGAAUCUUCCGCAAUGGGCGAAAGCCUGACGGAGCAACGCCGUGUGAGUGAUGAAGGUCUUCGGAUCGUAAAACUCUGUUAUUAGGGAAGAACAAAUGUGUAAGUAACUAUGCACGUCUUGACGGUACCUAAUCAGAAAGCCACGGCUAACUACGUG